rnacentral:rRNA from 1 species
CUUGGUCAUUUAGAGGAAGUAAAAGUCGUAACAAGGUCUCCGUUGGUGAACCAGCGGAGGGAUCAUUACCGAGUUUACAACUCCCAAACCCAAUGUGAACCAUACCAAACUGUUGCCUCGGCGGGGUCACGCCCCGGGUGCGUCGCAGCCCCGGAACCAGGCGCCCGCCGGAGGGACCAACCAAACUCUUUUCUGUAGUCCCCUCGCGGACGUUAUUUCUUACAGCUCUGAGCAAAAAUUCAAAAUGAAUCAAAACUUUCAACAACGGAUCUCUUGGUUCUGGCAUCGAUGAAGAACGCAGCGAAAUGCGAUAAGUAAUGUGAAUUGCAGAAUUCAGUGAAUCAUCGAAUCUUUGAACGCACAUUGCGCCCGCCAGUAUUCUGGCGGGCGUGCCUGUCCGAGCGUCAUUUCAACCCUCGAACCCCUCCGGGGGGUCGGCGUUGGGGACCUCGGGAGCCCCUAAGACGGGAUCCCGGCCCCGAAAUACAGUGGCGGUCUCGCCGCAGCCUCUCCUGCGCAGUAGUUUGCACAACUCGCACCGGGAGCGCGGCGCGUCCACGUCCGUAAAACACCCAACUUCUGAAAUGUUAACCUCGGAUCAGGUAGGAAUACCCGCUGAACUUAAGCAUAUCAAUAAGCGGAGGA